UUUGUUUUUCUUUUCCCUUUUUUCUCCCUCCUUUGUUUUUUUCUUUUCCCUUUUUUGUUCCUUUUUUCUUUUUCCUUUUUUAAUUUUUCUUUCUUUCUGGCUGAAACCCUCUUUACCAGGCGGCCUCACUAAUUCCAUCUAUAUCUGCUCUUCUGGCUCCAAGAUGACAGAGAGGAAUCAGAAUCCCAGCCUGGUUUGGGUUGGAAAGUUGGAUUUUAAGGCUUUUGGACUUAGAGGAGUAUCAGAUUUUCCAGGCCAGAGCUCCCAGUGUGGUUUGGACUGAUCUUCAGAAGCGAGUGUGCAGACUGCUGGACACCAUCCCACGGGAGGCUGCUGCCCAGCUCAUGGACUGUGCCAUGGAUCUGGAUUCCAGGCAGAAAUUCCUCCCUGCCUCUGCUCCCUGGGCUGCAAAGACAAAGCAGAAUUCCACAAUUUUGGAAAAUCAUGGGAACAGAGGCAUUUCCCAGCCCUGCCCGAGAUGUGUUGCUGGAGAAUCUGUGAGUGUGGGAAUCUGCUUUUUGGGGCUAAAAAAGGCUGGGACUUCUUCCUCAGAAUUAAAACCAUAAAACAUGAAGUUAUCAACCUCCACAAGUGCUCUGCUCAGGAAUAAAGGCUGGAAAUUCAAAGUAAAGGAGAUGGAUUUAGCAUUUCAGCAGAGCAGAAAUGAAUAUUUCCAGCAGCAGCUGGAGAAUCUGGAGAUGCUCAACACAUUUUUCAAAUUCUCUCUGAAAAAGCAGAAUUUGGGAAGUAAAUAAACAAGAAAAUAAACAAGAAAAUAAAAAAAACAAGAAAAUAAACAAAAUAAACAAGAAAAUAAACAAAAUAAACAAUAAAAUAAACAAGAAAAUAAACAAUAAAAUAAACAAAAUAAACAAGAAAAUAAACAAAAUAAACAAGAAAAUAAACAAGAAAAUAAACAAAAUAAACAAGAAAAUAAACAAGAAAAUAAACAAAAUAAACAAGAAAAUAAACAAAAUAAACAAGAAAAUAAACAAGAAAAUAAACAAAAUAAACAAGAAAAUAAACA